rnacentral:rRNA from 1 species
GAUGAACGCUGGCGGCGUGCUUAACACAUGCAAGUCGAACGGGAUCCCGGGGGUUCGCCUCCGGGUGAGAGUGGCGAACGGGUGAGUAAUGCGUGACCGACCUGCCCCAUACACCGGAAUAGCUCCUGGAAACGGGUGGUAAUGCCGGAUGCUCCGGUUGGAUGCAUGUCCUUCCGGGAAAGAUUCUAUCGGUAUGGGAUGGGGUCGCGUCCUAUCAGCUUGAUGGCGGGGUAACGGCCCACCAUGGCUUCGACGGGUAGCCGGCCUGAGAGGGCGACCGCCCACAUUGGGAAUGAGAUACGGCCCAGACUCCUACGGGAGGCAGCAGUGGGGAAUAUUGCACAAUGGGCGCAAGCCUGAUGCAGCGACGCCGCGUGCGGGAUGGAGGCCUUCGGGUUGUAAG